rnacentral:rRNA from 1 species
UACGGGGGGAGCAAGCGUUGUUCGGAUUUACUGGGCGUAAAGGGUGCGUAGGCGGCGCGGUAAGUCGGGUGUGAAAUUUCGGAGCUUAACUCCGAAACUGCAUUCGAUACUGCGGUGCUUGAGGACUGGAGAGGAGACUGGAAUUCAUGGUGUAGCAGUGAAAUGCGUAGAGAUCAUGAGGAAGACCAGUGGCGAAGGCGGGUCUCUGGACAGUUCCUGACACUGAGACACGAAGGCCAGGGGAGCAAACAGGG